rnacentral:rRNA from 1 species
GACGAACGCUGGCGGCGUGCUUAACACAUGCAAGUCGAACGGGCCUGUCUUCUUUUUUGGGGGUGGGUUGAGUGGCGAACGGGUGAGUAUCACGUGAGUAACCUGCCCUUCGGUCCUGGAUAACCGCUUGAAAGGGCGGCUAAUACGGGGUGGUCCGGUUGGUCCGCAUGGGCUGGUCGGGAUAGAUUCACUGUUUUUGGUGUUUCGGCGGGGGAUGGGCUCGCGGCCUAUCAGCUUGUUGGUGGGGUGAUGGCCUACCAAGGCGGUGACGGGUAGCCGGCCUGAGAGGGUGGGCGGCCACACUGGGACUGAGAUACGACCCAGACUCCUGCGGGAGGCAGCAGUGGGGGGUAUUGCACAAUGGGCGGAAGCCUGAUGCAGCGACGUCGCGUGAGGGAUGGAGGCCUUCGGGUUGUGAACCUCUGUUUCCGGUGGUGAAGGCCCUGUCCGUGUGGUGGGGUUGACGGUAGCCGGGGAUGAAGCGCCGGCUAACUACGUG